rnacentral:rRNA from 1 species
AGUGAACGCUGGCGGUAGGCCUAACACAUGCAAGUCGAACGGCAGCACAGUAGGAGCUUGCUCUUACGGGUGGCGAGUGGCGGACGGGUGAGGAAUACAUCGGAAUCUACUUUUUCGUGGGGGAUAACGUAGGGAAACUUACGCUAAUACCGCAUACGACCUACGGGUGAAAGCAGGGGAUCUUCGGACCUUGCGCGAUUGAAUGAGCCGAUGUCGGAUUAGCUAGUUGGCGGGGUAAAGGCCCACCAAGGCGACGAUCCGUAGCUGGUCUGAGAGGAUGAUCAGCCACACUGGAACUGAGACACGGUCCAGACUCCUACGGGAGGCAGCAGUGGGGAAUAUUGGACAAUGGGCGCAAGCCUGAUCCAGCCAUACCGCGUGGGUGAAGAAGGCCUUCGGGUUGUAAAGCCCUUUUGUUGGGAAAGAAAGGCAGCAGGUUAAUACCCCGCUGUUCUGACGGUACCCAAAGAAUAAGCACCGGCUAACUUCGUG